GAUGAACGCUAGCGGCAGGCUUAAUACAUGCAAGUCGUGGGGCAGCAGGGGUAGCAAUACCCGCUGGCGACCGGGCAAACGGGUGCGGAACACGUACGCAACCUUCCUUUAACUGGAGAAUAGCCCCUCGAAAGAGGGAUUAAUACUCCGUAACAUAUUGAUAAGGCAUCUUAUUAAUAUUAUAGCUCCGGCGGUUGAAGAUGGGCGUGCGCCUGAUUAGAUAGUUGGCGGGGUAACGGCCCACCAAGUCUGCGAUCAGUAACUGGUGUGAGAGCACGACCAGUCACACGGGCACUGAGACACGGGCCCGACUCCUACGGGAGGCAGCAGUAAGGAAUAUUGGU
rnacentral:rRNA from 1 species